rnacentral:sRNA from 26 species
UAAUGUAGACAGAAAAAGGGAAGCCCCGCUGGAACAGGACUUCCAAUGUAGAGCCGUUUAAGACGGUGGCAAACUUAAUAGAUUAGACU